rnacentral:lncRNA from 1 species
GAAUGUUUGAAAUAAUAUCAGACAUACUAAAUCGAUUCCAAUAUUCGGAGGACAUCCUAAUGAUCUCAAUUUACAGGGACGAUGGGUUUAUAAUUUUUAAUAAAUCUGAAAGACAUUUCAUGGAAUUUAUAAAAAUUGCUAAUAGCAUUCAUCCAUUAAUUAAGUUCACACACACCAUUUCAAAUACUGAAAUACAGUUCCUAGACGUAACAAUAUAUAAGGGGAAGAGAUUCUUGGAAGACAACAUUUUGGAUGUUAAACUAUACCGGAAACCUACAGAUAACUUCCAAUACCUAGACAAAACCUCCUCUCAUCCUAAUGCAGUCUUCAAAGGAUUCAUUAUUGGGGAAACAAUAAGAAUAAUAAGAUCGUCUAACAAUGAAAUCGACAGAAAACAGG